rnacentral:rRNA from 1 species
UCUACAAGACUCAAGCCUGCCAGUUUCGAAUGCAGUUCCCAGGUUGAGCCCGGGGAUUUCACAUCCGACUUGACAGACCGCCUGCGUGCGCUUUACGCCCAGUAAUUCCGAUUAACGCUUGCACCCUCCGUAUUACCGCGGCUGCUGGCACGGAGUUAGCCGGUGCUUCUUCUGCGGGUAACGUCAAUUGCUGCGGUUAUUAACCACAACACCUUCCUCCCCGCUGAAAGUACUUUACAACCCGAAGGCCUUCUUCAUACACGCGGCAUGGCUGCAUCAGGCUUGCGCCCAUUGUGCAAUAUUCCCCACUGCUGCCUCCCGUAGGAGUCUGGACCGUGUCUCAGUUCCAGUGUGGCUGGUCAUCCUCUCAGACCAGCUAGGGAUCGUCGCCUUGGUGAGCCGUUACCUCACCAACAAGCUAAUCCCAUCUGGGCACAUCUGAUGGCAAGAGGCCCGAAGGUCCCCCUCUUUGGUCUUGCGACGUUAUGCGGUAUUAGCCACCGUUUCCAGUAGUUAUCCCCCUCCAUCAGGCAGUUUCCCAGACAUUACUCACCCGUCCGCCACUCGUCAGCAAAGCAGCAAGCUGCUUCCUGUUACCGUUCGACUUGCAUGUGUUAGGCCUGCCGCCAGCGUUCAAUCUGAGCCAUGAUCAAACUCUUCAAUUUAAAAGUUUGAUGCUCAAUGAAUUAAACUUCGUAAUGAAUUACGUGUUCACUCUUGAGAC